AAACAACCAAUAUUAACAAAUCACAGAAUAUGGAUACGGAGUCUUAAGGGCAGACAAGCCUGCCUGCAAAUAGAUAUUCAACAAAGGCUCAAGGGUCAUGCCAUAUAACCUGCAGAACUCCUGUUUGAACUGCUCCACUAGAUAGUCCCAUUGCUUUG